rnacentral:rRNA from 1 species
GACGAACGCUGGCGGCGUGCCUAAUACAUGCAAGUCGAACGCUUCUUUCCUCCCGAGUGCUUGCACUCAAUUGGAAAGAGGAGUGGCGGACGGGUGAGUAACACGUGGGUAACCUACCCAUCAGAGGGGGUUAACACUUGGAAACAGGUGCUAAUACCGCAUAACAGUUUAUGCCGCAUGGCAUAAGAGUGAAAGGCGCUUUCGGGUGUCGCUGAUGGAUGGACCCGCGGUGCAUUAGCUAGUUGGUGAGGUAACGGCUCACCAAGGCCACGAUGCAUAGCCGACCUGAGAGGGUGAUCGGCCACACUGGGACUGAGACACGGCCCAGACUCCUACGGGAGGCAGCAGUAGGGAAUAUUCGGCAAUGGACGAAAGUCUGACCGAGCAACGCCGCGUGAGUGAAGAAGGUUUUCGGAUCGUAAAACUCUGUUGUUAGAGAAGAACAAGGACGUUAGUAACUGAACGUCCCCUGACGGUAUCUAACCAGAAAGCCACGGCUAACUACGUG